AUAAUAAUAAUAAUUACAACGCCGGCCCAUAGGGCCUGGCAUGGAUUAACGGGGCAAGGUGACUAGGGCGAGAGGGCCCGCCCCCCUCACGCUGACGCCUCACCACGAAAGAGUCACAACCUCCGAAACUACAACCUCCAAGUCCUAGGCCGCUCUUCAAAGUCCACUACAUCCAAGCCUGCAUACCUAGCAUAUUGAGCUAGGGAAACGCCGCAUUAUAGUAGUGGAGCACUGCCAGUUCGUGCAAACCGAGGAGCCAUGGCGCUCCUCCUCGAGCCUUGGAUCUUGAGCCUUGUCUUGAACCUUGGACCUCGCCACUAAAUCGGACUUCUGCACCACGACCAUUCUAGGUUGCAGCGGGCAUAAGCCCGCAAUUGCCACUAAGGGCAAUUACCUAUCGUUCGUGGGAUCACCAAUCGGUUUCGCACCAAUCUUUCGCCUUUUGCAUAAUUGGGCUUUUAUCCGGAUUCGUACCCGGGUCCCUUCUGCCGUAAGGACGAGUCAAAUCCCUAACUGAGUUAGCGAUCCAGUGAUAGGUGGUCCGCAGGCGGGGUGAGGACAGUGCGCCCCCAACCCCCCGCACCCCGUGGUCACCUGUGGCCGAAUGCCCUUGCCCGCCCGGUACAGCCCGCAAGGCAGGUAAGCAUGUUGCAGCCGGUACACCAGCACCUUUGCCCCCCGACUGGCGUGGCUGUCCCACAGCCUCCGCCACGUACCCCGCAGAAGGGACGCAUCCGGGGGCGGCAUGCGAGGGUCGCCCUCCACCGCCGCCGCUGCUGCCGCCGCCGCCGUGGCAGGCCCCAUGCUAGGUCCCGCCCCGCCUGCCGCCUGCUCCUGCAACCGCGCGGACCGCCGCGGCCCCUCACCCGAGUGCUGGGACGGGGACGCAUACGACUGCAGUUCUCUCGCCGGCGUGUUCUGCAGCCCGGCUGCCGCGGAGGUGCGGUGGAGCCAGGGGUCCAGAGCCACCGGGUUAUUGUGGAAAUGCUGCGCCGCCGUGGUGGUCAGCUGCGCCGCUGCACGCUGCCACUCCGCCUCCCGCUCCGCCAGCCGCGACUGUGCCACCGGCUGGGUCCCCGAACCCCCCGCCUGCUGUGCUGGCGCCGGGCACGGCAUGGCUGCGGGGCGGGCCGGAGCCGGAGGUGCGGCCGGGUUGGCCGCGGUGAUGGCCCGCCGCACGUCCCGCACCGUGUAGUCCGCCAAGCUGACACCCGCAAUCCGGCAGUGCUCCGGGUGCACCACCACCCCAGCCUCCGGCGCCAGGAAGUACGGCGCCCGAGGCCACGCCCCCGCCCGUUCCCCUGGUGAUGCUGCAUCGUACGCCGCCCGCUCUUCAAAGGUCCACAGGUGCCGCGGCUUGCGAUGCUGCAGCACACAGGCAGGCUGCCACGCCCCAUCCACCGCCGGGGGCAACACGCCAGGCCCAGGCUCCAAGAGCCGCCCUGUGUAGUGGACGUAGGACACAGCCCCCGCAGCGUUAGCCACCCACAGCUGAUCCAGGCUAACCCGCCACUGUGGCAGCGCCGCUGGCGGCUGAGUGGCUGGCUGCAGCGGAUGCUGUUCCACACCCGCGCUCCGCACGUGACCGACCGCGGCCGCCAGCCGGGCAGGCAGCCCCGCUGGCGCCGGCGCGUCGCUGUACACCCACGCCCACGUGGUGGCGGAGUCCGGGCGCACAUGAGUAAGCAGCGCCCGGGUGAGCAUCUUCCAGGGUUGCCGGCCUGGCUGGGCAAGGAGGGCGAAGGUCUUAGCUUGCAGGGCAGACAGGAACGCAGGCAGGUCGACGUGGUUGACACCCCCAUCCUUGUACGGCAGACAUGCCGUUUCCCGCUUUGGCAGCAGGAGCGGGUUCCCGUGCGACACCAGGCUGGCGUCCUCAGCGUGCAUGGAGCGCGCAGCAAAGUGGUCCACCAGGUCGGUGAGUUCCUUCAGCUGUGCAGGCGACGGGUUGAGGAAGCUGAAGUGGUAGGCCAGCUUCGCCGCCAGCACCUGCUUCGCAAUGUGCACACGGCCAACAAGAGUCAGAGACAGGGCAGCCCACAGACGCGCCACAAACGCCAUGCCGCGAGCCCGCCGGGUGUACAAGUCAGCUGCAGCCGCCUCAGAGUCCCACGACAGGGGCCGCCUUGAGGUGCCCGAGCCGCCUUGAGCUGUGCGGUGAGAAGCUGAGUGGGCAGAGCCGACAGGGUUUCAGGGGUUAGCGUGGCGGCAGUGAAACGCAGCUGCAUCACCCUGCGCAGCUCGCUGACCACCUCCCGAACCACAUGCUCCGACGUCUGCUUAGCAGGCUCGCGGGACCAGUACGCACACCAGACGGCGUACAAGAAGGUGGCCCGCAAAGUGCUCCACAGCAGCGCGCCCGCCCCCCGCGGGCCUGAGGCCCACAUACCCAUGCGGUCCCCCAGCAUGAAGCCCGCGUCCGUCACUGGCGGCGCCGCUGCCUGGGGCGCAACGCAGGCCCACAGCUGCUGCAGCCACGUCCUCGCCUGCGCAUAAGCUGGACACUCCAGGAAGAUGUGCGUCAGGCUGGCCCACGCCCGCGGGCCAGGUGGCCCGCAGGAAUAAUAAUAAUAAUAAUUACAACGCCGGCCCAUAGGGCCUGGCAUGGAUUAACGGGGCAAGGUGACUAGGGCGAGAGGGCCCGCCCCCCUCACGCUGACGCCUCACCACGAAAGAGUCACAACCUCCGAAACUACAACCUCCAAGUCCUAGGCCGCUCUUCAAAGUCCACUACAUCCAAGCCUGCACACCUAGCAUAUUGAGCUAGGGAAACGCCGCAUUGUAGUAGUGGAGCACUGCCAGUUCGUGCAAACCGAGGAGCCAUGGCGCUCCUCCUCGAGCCUUGGAUCUUGAGCCUUGUCAUGAACCUUGGACCUCGCCACUAAAUCGGACUUCUGCACCACGACCAUUCUAGGUUGCAGCGGGCAUAAGCCCGCAAUUGCCACUAAGGGCAAUUACCUAUCGUUCGUGGGAUCACCAAUCGGUUUCGCACCAAUCUUUCGCCUUUUGCAUAAUUGGGCUUUUAUCCGGAUUCGUACCCGGGUCCCUUCUGCCGUAAGGACGAGUCAAAUCCCUAACUGAGUUAGCGAUCCAGUGAUAGGUGGCCCGCAGGCGGGGUGAGGACAGUGUGCCCCCAACCCCCCGCACCCCGUGGUCACCUGUGGCCGAAUGCCCUUGCCCGCCCGGUACAGCCCGCAAGGCAGGUAAGCAUGUUGCAGCCGGUACACCAGCACCUUUGCCCCCCGACUGGCGUGGCUGUCCCACAGCCUCCGCCACGUACCCCGCAGAAGGGACGCAUCCGGGGGCGGCAUGCGAGGGUCGCCCUCCACCGCCGCCGCUGCUGCCGCCGCCGCCGUGGCAGGCCCCAUGCUAGGUCCCGCCCCGCCUGCCGCCUGCUCCUGCAACCGCGCGGACCGCCGCGGCCCCUCACCCGAGUGCUGGGACGGGGACGCAUACGACUGCAGUUCUCUCGCCGGCGUGUUCUGCAGCCCGGCUGCCGCGGAGGUGCGGUGGAGCCAGGGGUCCAGAGCCACCGGGUUAUUGUGGAAAUGCUGCGCCGCCGUGGUGGUCAGCUGCGCCGCUGCACGCUGCCACUCCGCCUCCCGCUCCGCCAGCCGCGACUGUGCCACCGGCUGGGUCCCCGAACCCCCCGCCUGCUGUGCUGGCGCCGGGCACGGCAUGGCUGCGGGGCGGGCCGGAGCCGGAGGUGCGGCCGGGUUGGCCGCGGUGAUGGCCCGCCGCACGUCCCGCACCGUGUAGUCCGCCAAGCUGACACCCGCAAUCCGGCAGUGCUCCGGGUGCACCACCACCCCAGCCUCCGGCGCCAGGAAGUACGGCGCCCGAGGCCACGCCCCCGCCCGUUCCCCUGGUGAUGCUGCAUCGUACGCCGCCCGCUCUUCAAAGGUCCACAGGUGCCGCGGCUUGCGAUGCUGCAGCACACAGGCAGGCUGCCACACCCCAUCCACCGCCGGGGGCAACACGCCAGGCCCAGGCUCCAAGAGCCGCCCUGUGUAGUGGACGUAGGACACAGCCCCCGCAGCGUUAGCCACCCACAGCUGAUCCAGGCUAACCCGCCACUGUGGCAGCGCCGCUGGCGGCUGAGUGGCUGGCUGCAGCGGAUGCUGUUCCACACCCGCGCUCCGCACGUGACCGACCGCGGCCGCCAGCCGGGCAGGCAGCCCCGCUGGCGCCGGCGCGUCGCUGUACACCCACGCCCACGUGGUGGCGGAGUCCGGGCGCACAUGAGUAAGCAGCGCCCAGGUGAGCAUCUUCCAGGGUUGCCGGCCUGGCUGGGCAAGGAGGGCGAAGGUCUUAGCUUGCAGGGCAGACAGGAACGCAGGCAGGUCGACGUGGUUGACACCCCCAUCCUUGUACGGCAGACAUGCCGUUUCCCGCUUUGGCAGCAGGAGCGGGUUCCCGUGCGACACCAGGCUGGCGUCCUCAGCGUGCAUGGAGCGCGCAGCAAAGUGGUCCACCAGGUCGGUGAGUUCCUUCAGCUGUGCAGGCGACGGGUUGAGGAAGCUGAAGUGGUAGGCCAGCUUCGCCGCCAGCACCUGCUUCGCAAUGUGCACACGGCCAACAAGAGUCAGAGACAGGGCAGCCCACAGACGCGCCACAAACGCCAUGCCGCGAGCCCGCCGGGUGUACAAGUCAGCUGCAGCCGCCUCAGAGUCCCACGACAGGGGCCGCCUUGAGGUGCCCGAGCCGCCUUGAGCUGUGCGGUGAGAAGCUGAGUGGGCAGAGCCGACAGGGUUUCAGGGGUUAGCGUGGCGGCAGUGAAACGCAGCUGCAUCACCCUGCGCAGCUCGCUGACCACCUCCCGAACCACAUGCUCCACAUGCUCCACAUGCUUAGCAGGCUCGCGGGACCAGUACGCACACCAGACGGCGUACAAGAAGGUGGCCCGCAAAGUGCUCCACAGCAGCGCGCCCGCCCCCCGCGGGCCUGAGGCCCACAUACCCAUGCGGUCCCCCAGCAUGAAGCCCGCGUCCGUCACUGGCGGCGCCGCUGCCUGGGGCGCAACGCAGGCCCACAGCUGCUGCAGCCACGUCCUCGCCUGCGCAUAAGCUGGACACUCCAGGAAGAUGUGCGUCAGGCUGGCCCACGCCCGCGGGCCAGGUGGCCCGCAGGAAUAAUAAUAAUAAUAAUUACAACGCCGGCCCAUAGGGCCUGGCAUGGAUUAACGGGGCAAGGUGACUAGGGCGAGAGGGCCCGCCCCCCUCACGCUGACGCCUCACCACGAAAGAGUCACAACCUCCGAAACUACAACCUCCAAGUCCUAGGCCGCUCUUCAAAGUCCACUACAUCCAAGCCUGCACACCUAGCAUAUUGAGCUAGGGAAACGCCGCAUUGUAGUAGUGGAGCACUGCCAGUUCGUGCAAACCGAGGAGCCAUGGCGCUCCUCCUCGAGCCUUGGAUCUUGAGCCUUGUCAUGAACCUUGGACCUCGCCACUAAAUCGGACUUCUGCACCACGACCAUUCUAGGUUGCAGCGGGCAUAAGCCCGCAAUUGCCACUAAGGGCAAUUACCUAUCGUUCGUGGGAUCACCAAUCGGUUUCGCACCAAUCUUUCGCCUUUUGCAUAAUUGGGCUUUUAUCCGGAUUCGUACCCGGGUCCCUUCUGCCGUAAGGACGAGUCAAAUCCCUAACUGAGUUAGCGAUCCAGUGAUAGG
rnacentral:lncRNA from 1 species